rnacentral:rRNA from 1 species
UACAGAGGUCUCAAGCGUUGUUCGGAUUCAUUGGGCGUAAAGGGCGCGUAGGCGGCGGGGUAAGUCGGGUGUGAAAUCUCAGAGCUCAACUCUGAAACUGCACUCGAUACUGCUUUGCUAGAGGACUGGAGAGGAGAUUGGAAUUCACGGUGUAGCAGUGAAAUGCGUAGAUAUCGUGAGGAAGACCAGUGGCGAAGGCGGAUCUCUGGACAGUUCCUGACGCUGAGGCACGAAGGUCAGGGGAGCAAACGGG